GAUGAACGCUGGCGGCGUGCCUAAUACAUGCAAGUCGAGCGAACGGACGAGAAGCUUGCUUCUCUGAUGUUAGCGGCGGACGGGUGAGUAACACGUGGAUAACCUACCUAUAAGACUGGGAUAACUUCGGGAAACCGUAGCUAAUACCGGAUAAUAUUUUGAACCGCAUGGUUCAAAAGUGAAAGACGGUCUUGCUGUCACUUAUAGAUGGAUCCGCGCUGCAUUAGCUAGUUGGUAAGGUAACGGCUUACCAAGGCAACGAUGCAUAGCCGACCUGAGAGGGUGAUCGGCCACACUGGAACUGAGACACGGUCCAGAGUCCUACGGGAGGCAGCAGUAGGGAAUCCUCCGCAAUGGGGGAAAGCCUGACGGAGCAACGCCGCGUGAGUGAUGAAGGUCUUCGGAUCGUAAAACUCUGUUAUUAGGGAAGAACAUAUGUGUAAGUAAAUGUGCACAUCUUGACGGUACCUAAUCAGAAAGCAACGGCUAACUACGUG
rnacentral:rRNA from 1 species